AUACGGAGGGUGCAAGCGUUACUCGGAAUCACUGGGCGUAAAGCGCGCGCAGGCGGCUUGAUAAGUUGGAUGUGAAAGCCUACGGCUCAACCGUAGAACUGCAUCCAAAACUGUCAGGCUAGAGUGUGAGAGAGGAAGAUGGAAUUAGUUGUGUAGGGGUAAAAUCCGUAGAGAUAACUAGGAAUACCAAAAGCGAAGGCAAUCUUCUGGAACACUACUGACGCUGAGGCGCGAAGGCGUGGGGAGCAAACAGAAUUAGAAACCCCGGUAGUCC
rnacentral:rRNA from 1 species